rnacentral:rRNA from 1 species
CGGGUAGAGUAAUGCGUGACCAACCUGCCCCAUGCUCCAGAAUAGCUCUUGGAAACGGGUGGUAAUGCUGGAUGCUCCAACUUGACGCAUGUCUUGUUGGGAAAGUGUUUAGUGGCAUGGGAUGGGGUCGCGUCCUAUCAGCUUGUAGGCGGGGUAAUGGCCCACCUAGGCUUCGACGGGUAGCCGGCAUGAGAGGGCGGACGGCCACAUUGGGACUGAGAUACGGCCCAGACUCCUACGGGAGGCAGCAGCG